ACAGCCACAUCAUGUUGAAAUACCUGUUCCAGUACGAUCUCCGAAGUUAAGCAACACAAACCUGGACAGUACUAGAUGGGUGACCGCUUGGGAAUACCAAGUGCUGUAA